UUUCUAUAUAUAAUAUAAUAAUAGCUCUGCAUCUACUACCUCUGUUGUAUAUUUUUUAUAUUUCCUUGAGAUCAAUGAUUUGUGUUCAUCACCCUAUCGAUUCUCUCAGAUCUGUCAAUAUUAUUUUUUCGUUUCUUUAGGAAUGAUUGAAGAGUGAAGUCGCUGGAGGCAGCGGUUCAUCGAUCAAUUCCUGGGAAAUUCUUUUGUUUAAUUUCGAUGUUAAAAAAAAAAAAAAAAAAAANAAAAGAGUUAUACAUCGAAAGCACGAAUCGAUCGAUAAACCUCUGCAUCCAGCGCUUGCUCUACCCUGAUCAUUUGUUUGAUAAUCUAGUAUCUACUUCAACGCUCUCAGAAAAAAAAAAAAGCAUUAGAAGAAACAAGAUUUUGGAUUCUAAAUCUUAUUUUUUUUUGUCCCAAAUAUAAUUGGUAAUGAAAGCAAGUAAAUAUAAAUCAGUCUGUUUGUUUUGUUUUUGUUUUGGGUAACAAAUCAUUCAUAAUGUUUUUUUUUUUUUUUUAACUUUUUCUUUUGUAGGUGUACUUCAUUCCUAGUCUAUCAUGUCUUCAUACUUUGACUUGUACACUUAUCUUAAUAUCUUACCAUGUGUUUCUUCUGUUUUUAUUAUAAUUUCCAGUUACAAUUUCAGUUUUGUUUUUUAAAAUUUUUCCCUCAAGUAAAUUAUUCUCAAUCUGAUGAUGAUGAUGCUGAUGCAGUUUUUACUUUUGGUUUAACAUGUAUUAAGGUUUGAGUCUCACCUAAUAAUGUUAUUUUUAUUUCGUUGAGCCAUGGAGGCCAAUUAAUUCGAGUUUGCGGAUUAGCUAAUACCGUAGAUCGGUUUCUUUCCCUCUCACCGCUGGUUUUGUUCCUGUUUUUUUUCUUUUUUUUGGUGUGUUGUUAUGAGUUCUCUCUCGAGGUUUGCUCUGUAUCUAUGGUUUUCUUGAUGCAUUAUGUGGCUUUUGCUUGCUUCUCCGGCUCUAGAUACCGCUAUUUUUACCUGAGCAUUGCCCAUUUCUCGAGAGAACACUUGCUUUUGCAUUACUAUGUAAGUCUAUGUUCAUGUUUCAUUCUUGUCUAGUGAUAAGAUAUCCACACAAAAACCAGCGUUGCAAACUACUCCAAAACUUUGGUACAUUGCGCAAUAUCCAAAUAGCGUAAUAACCCUUUUAAUCAGGAUUUAAAUGCUCAUAUUCAGUGAUUAAAAGGUCCAGAUAGCCAUGCUGCUUCUUGUUUAUUUUUGCAUUAUUAGAAUCUGUUUUGAAGCAAUAAUGAAAGUGGAUGUUCAAGAAGAAUCAAAUUCACUCCCGAUGAGAACUUUCAAGUGUCAGCGUCUAUCUGUUGAGAAAGACACUUUCAGUUGUUAGUCAUAUAUGUGUUCUCUUUUCCCUUUUUUGGCAGGACAGAAAAAAAAGGUGAGGAAUCUUGUAAGUGAAUGGAUUCCUCAGCUCGUGGGUUUAAAUAUUUCCUUGGAGCAAACUUCAAAUGGUAACAUGAUUCCAUUCUCAUAUUAGUCAUGGGAACACAGGAACCAGAAGAAAAGAACCUAAGCCAAAUUGAUGGAACAUAUUGUUCAAAGAGGCGGCUUAAUACAGACAAAUACAGUUCCUUUGUUUACAACCCUACACUUCUUUACAAAACUUGCGCUCAUAUUUUUCCUAAUUUUAUUUGUAUGUUUUCUAAUGUUUCAUUGUAAUCAUCUUUGUUGUUAUUAUUAUGUAGUACAACCUUCGGUAUUACCGUAACAAUAAAAUUCUUGUACUACAUAUACAAAAGCAAAUGAUUCGGUUGGGUUCUGGAUCGGCAACGAAUGGCUAAGCUUAGCACCACAAAUUGCCACGUAGGAUAAGUCUGACCAAUCAGAAACCAUCUUUCAAAUCUCCCUUCGUUCAAUCUUAACCAGAAAUCUCAAUUUACUUAUAAUCUUUAGAAAAAAAAAGAGUACAGCUGAAGAAACAGUUUGCAGACAACAUUGAAGAAAAGUAUUAAGAGUUGCUUUGUCUCUUUCGCUGUCGCAUUGAUUUGACAAUUUGUGGCGGAGAGAAACCAUGGCUAUGGCGGAGAUGGCAAUGAAGUCUUCAGUAUCUGCAAAACUCACUCUUCCUUCUUCUUCUUCUACGUUUUGUAAGAAGACAGCUGUGAGACAAAUCUCUGUUUCACUUCCAACAUCAACUUCAAUCUCUCUGUUAUCUCUCUUUGCUUCUCCUCCUCAUGAAGCCAAAGCUGCUGUUUCCAUUUCCAAGGACCAAAUCGUCUCCUCUCUCACUGAAGUGGAGAAAACAAUCAACCAAGUUCAAGA